rnacentral:misc_RNA from 1 species
AAAGUCGUAACAAGGUUUCCGUAGGUGAACCUGCGGAAGGAUCAUUAUAGUAUAUGGAAUACCCAUUCUAUAAACCCACUCUGUGUAUCUUGUACUGUUGCUUCCAUGGGACUUGGUCCUGCCACACCGGCUUCACGGCUGGUGAGCGCCCAUGGGAGGAGAAACAAAACUCUUCUUUGAACUGUAGUCAGUCUGAACUUGUUUUUAUAAACGUUAAAACUUUCAACAACGGAUCUCUUGGUUCUC